GGUGAUGGGUGGCUUAGUGGGUAGAGCAGGCGCACCAUGGGCAAAGGCGAUAGUCCUCCACAUGUUUGUUCUGGGUUCAAUUCCCAGUCUUGCUG